rfam:Colletotrichum gloeosporioides Cg-14 contig01766, whole genome shotgun sequence.
GGCCGGCUGGCGCAAUGGUAGCGCGUCAGACUUCUAUCCGCUUUCGAGUGGUGUAGUAAUCUGAAGGCUGCGGGUUCGAGCCCCGCGUUGGUCA